GUGGGGAAUCUUCCGCAAUGGACGAAAGUCUGACGGAGCAACGCCGCGUGAGUGAAGAAGGUUUUCGGAUCGUAAAGCUCUGUUGUUUGAGACGAAUGUGCAGACUUUGAAUAAGGGUUUGUAAUGACGGUAUUAAACGAGAAAGCCACGGCUAACUACGUGCCAGCAGCCGCGGUAAUACGUAGGUGGCAAGCGUUGUCCGGAAUUAUUGGGCGUAAAGGGAGCGCAGGUGGGAAUGUAAGUCAGUCUUAAAAGUGCGGGGCUCAACCCCGUGAGGGGAUUGAAACUACAUUUCUGGAGUGCAGGAGAGGAAAGUGGAAUUCCUAGUGUAGCGGUGAAAUGCGUAGAGAUUAGGAGGAACACCAGUGGCGAAGGCGACUUUCUGGACUGUAACUGACACUGAGGCUCGAAAGCCAGGGGAGCGAACGGGAUUAGAUACCCUGGUAGUCC
rnacentral:rRNA from 1 species